GACGAACGCUGGCGGCGUGCUUAACACAUGCAAGUCGAACGGAAAGGCCCUGCUUGCAGGGUACUCGAGUGGCGAACGGGUGAGUAACACGUGGGUGAUCUGCCCUGCACUUCGGGAUAAGCUUGGGAAACUGGGUCUAAUACCGGAUAGGAGCCAUCUUUAGUGUGGUGGUUGGAAAGUUUUUUCGGUGUAGGAUGAGCUCGCGGCCUAUCAGCUUGUUGGUGUGGUAAUGGCCUACCAAGGCGGCGACGGGUAGCCGGCCUGAGAGGGUGUACGGCCACAUUGGGACUGAGAUACGGCCCAGACUCCUACGGGAGGCAGCAGUGGGGAAUAUUGCACAAUGGGCGCAAGCCUGAUGCAGCGACGCCGCGUGGGGGAUGAAGGCCUUCGGGUUGUAAACUCCUUUCGCUAGGGACGAAGCUUUUUUGUGACGGUACCUAGAUAAGAAGCACCGGCUAACUACGUG
rnacentral:rRNA from 1 species